AUUCUACUCCCUCCGUUCCAAAUUACUUGAUCCAUAUUUAUCUAGAUACGAAUGUAUCUAGACACUAAACAAGUAUAGAUCCAUAUUUAUCUAUACUUGUUUAGUGUCUAGAUACAUUUGUAUUUAGAUAAAUUCAAGUCAACUAAUUUGGAACGGAGGGAGUAUAUG
rnacentral:pre_miRNA from 1 species